rnacentral:rRNA from 1 species
GGGGCAACCCUGACCGAGCAACGCCGCGUGAGUGAAGAAGGUUUUCGGAUCGUAAAGCUCUGUUGUAAGAGAAGAACGAGUGUGAGAGUGGAAAGUUCACACUGUGACGGUAACUUACCAGAAAGGGACGGCUAACUACGUGCCAGCAGCCGCGGUAAUACGUAGGUCCCGAGCGUUAUCCGGAUUUAUUGGGCGUAAAGCGAGCGCAGGCGGUUAGAUAAGUCUGAAGUUAAAGGCUGUGGCUUAACCAUAGUACGCUUUGGAAACUGUUUAACUUGAGUGCAGAAGGGGAGAGUGGAAUUCCAUGUGUAGCGGUGAAAUGCGUAGAAUAUAUGGAGGAACACCGGUGGCGAAAGCGGCUCUCUGGUCUGUAACUGACGCUGGAGGCUCGAAAGCGUGGGGAGCAAACAGGAUUAGAUACCCUGGUAGUCCACGCCGUAAACGAUGAGUGCUAGGUGUUGGGGUCCCUUUCCGGGGACUCAGUGCCGCAGCU